CUCCUCCGGGGGACAGCAGUGGGGAAUAUUGCGCAAUGGGCGAACGCCUGACGCAGCGACGCCGCGUGAGGGUUGAAGGUCUUCGGAUCGUAAAUCUCUGUCAGCAGGGAAGAACGGUCACUGUGCUAAUCAGCAGUGAAUUGACGGUACCUGCAAAGGAAGCACCGGCUAACUCCGCGCCAGCAGCCGCGGUAAUACGGAGGGUGCGAGCGUUAAUCGGAAUUACUGGGCGUAAAGCGCUCGUA
rnacentral:rRNA from 1 species